rnacentral:lncRNA from 1 species
UGGGGAUGUUAGAAGAAACAUUUGUCGUAUAGAAUGAUUGGUGAUGGCCUGGAUACAGUUUUGGAUGAAUUGAGAAGCUAAACGGAAGAUACAAGGUCCGAAUAAAAGGAGGAGAAAAAUGGGUAUUAAAGGACUAAGAAUUGGGAGGACCCAGGACAUCCAAUUAGAGUGCCCAAGGGGGUUCAGUGUAAUUACUUGCUUGGUUGUCAAGUUUUUGGGCUCUAUCCUUGAGUUUUUUAUGUUGUCAUACACCAGGCCAGAUUGAUUUAGGUAAAAACAACACUCUUCAUUUAAGAAUAUGCAGAGUCCUCCUUUUUCAGCAGUAAGUAAGUCAAGGCCUCGGCGGUUUUGGAGGACAACUGCAGCUAAAGAGUCAACUUGGGCCUGGCGGACUGAUAAAGUUUGUGAUAUGUCUGUGAUGCUAGCAGAGAAGUCAUUAGAGAGGCUACAGAAGGUCGUGACAGAGGUUGAAAUGCCUGCUAUUCCAGUACCGAGAGCAAUAGUGGAGGCAGAAAGUCCUAAACCGACCAGCAAGGGAAUUAGUGGAAUAACUCUUUUUUGUCAUGUCGGUGUCAUGAGGGGAACAGGGAGCUCUUCGGUCCCAUUUGCAAAUUGAAUUUUGGGGGUAAGGAAGACUAGUGUGCAUGUGCCUGUCCAAUUAGCAGGUAGACACAUGUAGGUAGAGGAUCCACAGAGGAAGAACAGACCUUGUGCAAGGCAAAACUGGAGAUGUAAAGUAAAAAGAUGAGAAGGAGUGCUGAAAGGGGUGUCUUUUACCCAGACUCCUAGGGAUCCAGCUAAGGCAGCAGCUGUCAGAGAUUGUAAUGGGGAAUGAUGGGGUAACUGCGUAGAGGGUGAGGUUCGAUUUUCAUGGUGUAUGAGAAAACGUUGAGUAUCUACAAGCAACCUUUCACUGUUAUUUUCGGGGCUGAGUAUAAGUAAACAAGAAGAGGGCCUGGGAGGAGAGUCUGAUGAGCAAGGGGAAGGUAGCCAAGGAUGGAGCGAAAUACAGGGCAAGUGUCUUCCUAAGCAAUAAUUACUGUUAAUGUUUUUAAGUUUGUCAGUAUUGAUAGAGGGCUUGUCUGUAAUAUGGAGCUGGAAGGCUCCAAUUAUUUCAGUGAUGUGUGUAGUUGGACUUCAGAGAUGAAGAGUAAAGGAACAUCCAGAAGGUGAAAGAUUACCUAGGGGAAUUCCAGUGGGUCUUUGCUGAGAGACACAUAAAGGAGUGGCCACAGGAAUAGUAGUUUGUGUUGUGAGAGGUCCAAAUAUGGGGUGAGUAGAGUUAAUAUAAGGAGAAAGGUUUUUUAAAUAAGUGCGAAGAGGGCAGCAGCUUGCUGAUGUGAAAUGUCUGGGGAAGUCUUGCUGGACCUGUCUAGAAAGUAAGUGAGUUCUUCAGGAGGGUAAAGGUGAGGGCUGUUAAAGGAAGUUCGGAGGUGUAGGGAGAUGGGAGAUGUUGCCCAGUCUGUCUGUAAGGCGGGGACAGCUGUGUAGGCACUGGAAGAAAGAGAAAUGCAAAGCCAGCAGUUGUUCGCUAAGGAGGGAUUAGAAGCGGCUAGGAGAGAAUGGGUAAGGUUGAUAGUGUGGUGGAGAUAGCUGGGGAGAGGUAGAGGGUGGCAUAAGAAUGGGAAUGAGAAUAAGAGUGAGUAUAAAAGUAAAGAAUAGAACUUCAUCAGGGUGGAAGUAUUGGAGGGUGCCUUGCCAGCAAAGAUCAUCUACCCACUCUAAGAGGGAGUUAAGAGUGGCAGUUUGGGGAUAGCACCAAGAGAUAUCAGCUGUGAUGGCUUGAAGAAACAGUGUAAACCGGCGGUGUAAACAGGAGUAGGGCAUUUAUAAGUAGUUGAGAAUGGAGAAUAGGAGUAUGACCGGACAGAAGACAGUAGGGAUGACUAGUUUUUUGGGGCUCGGCCUAAGUGGUGGGGGUGGCUUCGUAAAGCCCUGUUGCAAAAAGUAGGGUAAGGAUGAAAAGACCUAAUAGAAUGAAGUGAUGUAUUAGGCUCAUAAGGGUUAUUACUGUUCUUCAGAAAUACGAGUGAGUUUAAGGGAAGUAGGGGAGAGUAUUUGCGACUUCCAGGAGGAAGAGGAGGGAUUAGGCUGGCUGUCCGAUGGACACAGCUUUAUUCUGGAAUGGUGAACCCAGUGGGGAGGAUCCUGCAGGCGGACGGCAGUCGGGGUACUAUAGAUGACUAAGUAGGGUCCUGUCCAUCGAGGUUGUAGAGUUUGAGGGGUCAGAUUCUUAACAAGAACUGAUCAUCCAGCUAGGGUGUCUUCAUAUGGCUGGGGAUCUGGAGUAGGCAAGAGAAGAUUAGCAGCCUGGCGAAUUUCCUGUCUAGCCUGCUGGAGGACUGGAAGAUAGUCACCUAGAGGGCUGGUGUCUGGGAUGAGGUUGGGGCCAAGCAAGAAAAUGCAUCCAUAUAAAAGUUCAAAUGGACUGUACCCUGUAGCAUCUCGAGGACAGGCUCUGAUUCUGAGAAGAGCAAGAGGUAAAAGUACUGUCCAAUCCUUUUUAAGUUGGAGGCUGAGCUUGGUGAGGUGUGCCUUUAAAAGACCAUUAGUCCGUUCCACCUUUCCUGAAGAUUGAGGAUGGUAAGGGAUAUGAAGUUUCCACUGAAUACCAAGAGCCUGAGAAACUGCUUGGGUGAUUUGGCUAGUAAAGGCUGGUCCGUUAUCAGACUGUAUAGAGGUGGGAAGGCCAAACCAAGGAAUUAUAUCUGACAGAAGGGAAGAAAUGACCAAGGUGGCCUUCUCAGACCCUGUGGGGAAGGCCUCUACCCAUCCAGUGAAAGUGUCUACCCAGACUAAGAGAUAUUUUAGUUUUCUGACUCGAGGCAUGUGAGUAAAGUCAAUUUGCCAGUCUUGGGCAGGGGCAAAUCCUCGAGCUUGAUGUGCAGGGAAGGGAGGAGGCCUGAACACUCCCUGAGGAGUAGUAGAAUAGCAGAUGGAACACUGAGAAGUGAUCUCCUUGAGGAUAGAUUUCCAUGAUGGAAAGGAAAUGAGAGGUUCUAAGAGAUGGGCUAGUGGCUUGUAACCUACAUGGAAGAGGUUAUGAAAUGACAACAGAAUAGAAUGGGCCUGUAAGGCUGGAAGGAGAUAUUUUCCUUGGUCUAAGAACCAUUUGCCUUGUGUGGGAAGAGAUUGAUAGGUGGAAGUUUCAGUGGGGGAGUAGGUGGGAGUGACUAAAGUGGAGAAAAACUGGCCGUGAGGGACAGAAGUUGGAGAGCUAGCUGCUUGUCUAGCUACUUUAUCAGCAUAAGCGUUGCCUAGAGCAAUGGGAUCUGACGCCUUUUGAUGCCCCUUGCAGUGAAUGACCCCAGCUUCUUUUGGAAGUAAAGCAGCCUUGAGCAGAGUUUUUAUUAAAGAGGCAUUAAUGAUGGAGGACCCUUGUGUAGUGAGGAAACCUCUUUCAGCCCAUAUGACUGCAUGGUGGUGCAGAAUAUGAAAGGCAUAUUUAGAAUCAGUAUAGAUAUUGACACGUAGUCCUUUUGCAAGAGUGAGGGCUUGAGUUAAGGCAACUAGUUCGGCUUGCUGAGAGGUAGUGGAGGGAGGCAGAGAGGUAGCCUCAAUGAUAGAUGUGGAAGAUACUAUAGCAUAGCCUGCCUUUGCUGGUGAAUGGCGAUUAGGCCUGGUGGAACUACCAUCAAUAAACCAAGUGUGAUCAGGGUGAGAAACAGGGAAGAAGGAAAUGUGGGGAAAUGGGGUGAACGUCAGGUGGAUCAGAGAGAUGCAGUCAUGAGGGUCAGGUGUGGUAUCCGGAAUAAUGUGGGAGGCCAGAUUGAAGUCCGGGCCAGGAACAAUGGUAAUUGUGGGACUUAAAGAGUUAGUACAGCUGAAGGAGCUGGGGAACAGAAAGUAUAUGCAUCAGGUAUGAGGAAGAAAAUAGAUUUUGGAAGUUAUGAGAAAUGUAGAGAGUGAGUUGAGCAUAGGUUGUGAUUUUUAGGGCCUCUAACAGUAUUAAAGCAGCGGCAGCCGCUGCACGCAGACAUGAGGGCUAGGCUAAAACAGUAAGGUCAAGUUGUUUGGACAGAAAGACUACACGGUGUGGUCCUGGCUCUUGUGUAAGAAUUCUGACCACACUAACCAUGCCUAGGAAGGAAAGGAGUUGUUCUUUUGUAAGGGAUUGAGGUUUGGGAGAUUAAUUGGACACGAUCAGCAGGGAGAGCACGUGUGUUUUUAUGAGAAUUAUGCCGAGAUAGGUAACAGAUGGGGAUGAAAUAUGGGCUUGACUGAAGUAAUGGGGGCUGUCUGUGAAGCCUUGCGGCAGUACAGCCCAGGUAAUUUGCUGAGCCUAAUGGGUGUCAGGGUCAGUCUAAAUGAAGGCAAAGAGAGGCUGGGAUGAAGGGUGCAAAGGAAUAGUAAAGAAAGCAUGUUUGAGAUGCAGAACAGAAUAAUGGGUAGUAGAGGGAGGUAUUGAGGAUAGGAGAGUAUAUGGGUUUGGCACCAUGGGGUGGAUAGGCAAAACAAUUUGGUUGAUAAGGCACAGAUCCUGAACUAACCUGUAAGCCUUGUCUGGUUUUAGGACAGGUAAAAUGGGGGAAUGGUAAGGAGAGUUUAUAGGCUUUAAAAGGCCAUGCUGUAGCAGGCGAGUGAUAACAGGCUUUAAUCCUUUUAAAGUGUGCUGUGGGAUGGGAUCUUGACAUUGAGCAGGGUAAGGGUGAUUAGGUUUUAAUGAGAUGGUAAGGGGUGCAUGAUCGGUCACCAAGGAGGGAGUAGAGGUAUCUUAUACUUGUGGGUUAAGGUGGAGGGAUAUAAGAGGAGGACGCAAAGGAGGCUUUGGAUUAGGAAGAAGGGCGGCAAUGAGAUGUAGCUGUAGUCCAGGAAUAGUCAGGGAAGCAGAUAAUUUAGUUAAAGUGUCUCAGCCUAAUAAGGGAACUGGGCAGGUGGGGAUAACUAAAAAGGAGUGCUUAAAAGAGUAUUGUCUAAGUUGGCACCAGAGUUGGGGAGUUUUAAGAGGUUUAGAAGCUUGGCCGUCAAUAUCCACAACAGUUAUGGAGGCAAGGGAAGCAGGCCCUUGAAAAGAAGGUAAUGUGGAGUGGGUAGCCUCCAUAUUGAUUAAGAAGGGGACGGACUUACCUUCCACUGUGAGAGUUACCCAAAGCUCGGCGUCUGUGAUGGUCUACCGGGCCUCCGAGGCGAUCGAGCAGCAUCAGUCUUCAGCCGCUAAGCCGAGAAGGAGUCUGUCAGAGAGCCUUGGGCCAGAGUUCCACAGGCUCUGGGAGUGGCUGCCAGAUGUUUCAGCAGUCAUGGUGCCUCAGAGCACUGUCUUGGAAGGAAGAAGGUGCAUAAAAUGGAAAUCACAUUUAUCAAGUUCUAUGCUGCUGCUAGUGCUGAACAGGAUACCUUAAAUAAAUAUGCCUUUUAACACUGACAAUCCCCAGUGCUUGUUAUAUCUACUUUAUAGAAGAAAAAAACUGAGGUUCGAGGUGGGUUCCUUCAUUCAUAUAUUUAAGUGCCUCCUAGGGACCUCAGUACUGGGGACACUAAAAUGUACAAUAAAGACCCUGUCCCUGCCUCACAAAGCUUGCAUCCUUGUAGGGGAGUGUCAAUUCAACAACCACACAAGUAAUUAAUUAAUUAUGGUAGGGAAAGUGAAAAUGCUGUGAGAACAAGUAGCAGAGGGAGCCAACCCAAUCUGGAGAUCCAAGAAGACCUCCCGGAGGAAGCGAGAUUGAAGUUGAGACCCGAGGAAUUACUCAGGAGGGGGGCAAAUGAGCACUCCCCACACCAGCACCACGGAGCCCCAACAGCAGAAGGAAGCAUGGCCUUUCAAAGAAGGGAAAACAUGCCAGGACAGGUAGAGCAGAGGCCAGAGGUGGAACUAUCAUAAGGUGAAGCUGGUGAGAUUAGUACAGCCUCAGCCACCAGCGCCAGCCUUGCAGACCAAGCAAGGAUGUUGGACUUUAUUCCAGGAAGUGGCGGAGAAACACAGCAGUCCUUCAGGAGGUCAGACUUUCUAGUAAGAAGCAAGUGAUCAAAUCGAGGUUGGAGUCUAAAGUCCAUGCUUUUUCCACUGUACCCAGCACAUUUAUGUGAUGGAAAAAAAAAAAAAAAAGUCUGCAGGUGUGAUUGAUUGAUAGGAUCUUCUAGCUCACAGAAAGAGUCUGGAGUAGAAGGAAAGCCCUGGAGUAAGAGUCAGAAAUCUUGAGUUCUAGUUCUGCCUCUGGCCAUUCCUAAUUGGGCAGCUUGGCUACGUCUUUUUACCUCCACAGACCUCAAUUUCCUUACUUCUAACAGAAAGGGUUGGACUAAAGCCAUGCAUACCCCAUAGUAAAUACUCAGUAAAUCUUAGCGGCUACUUCUAUCAGCCUCUUUGCUCUCUAAUAUUCUCUGUCAGUAUAAAUUCCGUGACUAUGAUUGUACUUUUUCAGAUUCUCACUUACCAGGCAUGGUCAUCAACCUUAGUUAUCUCUAGAGUAAGGUGGUAUAAUUAUUCUUUUGACAUAAUCCUGGAAUUCUCAAAUAACAUUUAGGAACUCUCAUCUCCAGAAGGAAUCCUGGAUUUUAUGGCUCACUUAAAUGUUCACAUAAUUGAUUUUCCCCUCUUACAGUAUUUAUCCAUAUAACCCACGGGCAGAAAUUGAAUUAUGGUUCUGAAGGGACUUACUGUUAUAAUAUUGGCAGAGUUUUCAUAGGUUAAGUGAUAAUUAAAGUUUAAAUUUCACAGAGGUCACACAGCUUUUAAGUGUGAUUCCCCCCACCACUAUAUUAUAACAAAGACAAUUUGGUUUUUGAAAUGCAAGAUAAUCUUAAACAAGAAAUUAUUUUCUACAUUAUAUGUAAAGUUGUGCUUGCUUUUAU